CCUACGGGUGGCAGCAGUGAGGAAUAUUGGUCAAUGGACGAGAGUCUGAACCAGCCAAGUCGCGUGAAGGAUGACUGCCCUAUGGGUUGUAAACUUCUUUUAUAAAGGAAUAAAACGACGCACGUGUGCCUUUGUGCACGUACGUUAUGAAUAAGGAUCGGCUAACUCCGUGCCAUCAGCCGCGGUAAUACGGAGGAUCCGAGCGUUAUCCGGAUUUAUUGGGUUUAAAGGGAGCGUAGAUGGGUUGUUAAGUCAGUUGUGAAAGUUUGCGGCUCAACCGUAAAAUUGCAAUUGAUACUGGCAGACUUGAGUACAGAAGAGGUAGGCGGAAUUCGUUGUGUAGCGGUGAAAUGCUUAGAUAUAACGAAGAACCCCGAUUGCGAAGGCAGCUUACUAAACUGUGACUGACGUUGAUGCUCGAAAGUGUGGGUAUCAAACAGGAUUAGAUACCCCGGUAGUC
rnacentral:rRNA from 1 species